GGUUUUUAUCAUUUUUUAAGGGAUCAAUAAGCAUCUUUAAAAUGACUGAUGCGAUGCCUGGAGUACGGCAACUUUUCUCCUCCUGGAGCUGCCGCCUGGUUCAGAGUGAAGUG